CGCGUAGGCGGUUAUUUAAGUUAGAUGUGAAAUCCCUGGGCUUAACCUAGGAACUGCAUCUGAUACUGGAUGGCUGGAGUGUGGUAGAGGGUAGUGGAAUUUCCGGUGUAGCGGUGAAAUGCGUAGAUAUCGGAAGGAACACCAGUGGCGAAGGCGGCUACCUGGACCAACACUGACGCUGAGGCGCGAGAGCGUGGUAGCAAACA
rnacentral:rRNA from 1 species